UGGCAGCCAAGCGUUCAUAGCGACGUUGCUUUUUGAUCCUUCGAUGUCGGCUCUUCCUAUCAUUGUGAAGCAGAAUUCACAACGUGUCGGAUUGUUCACCCGCUAAUAGGGAACGUGAGCUGGGUUUAGACCGUCGUGAGACAGGUUAGUUUUACCCUACUUUUAAACUGAUGUUGCGACAGUAAUUCAACUUAGUACGAGAGGAACCGUUGAAUCAGAUACUUGGUAAAUACGGUUGUCUGAAAAGACAAUGCCGUGAAGCUACCAUCUGUAGGAUUAUGACUGAACGCCUCUAAGUCAGAAUCCAUGCUGGAAAGCAACGUCCAAUCAAUAAUAAACGAAAAACAUUAAGGCCUAGCCUGAAGUUCACAUGAUGGGGAAAUCGGGCUCUCGCAACAGAGAAGUCCCUAUUCCUCGAAUCGUAAUUUCGAAUUAUUAUUGACACAAAUCCUUUGUAGACGACUUAAUUUAAGACCUGGUAUUGUACGUGUGAGAGUAGGAUUAACCUACGAU
rnacentral:rRNA from 13 species